rnacentral:tRNA from 1 species
CAGGGAGACAACAAAAUGUUUAAUAUUAUUAUUUUGUCACCUUAGGUCGAUCGGUAUCUCACUUUCUUAAAUCUAUUAAGAAUUUCAUUUCCUAAGUUUUUCUAGGUCACACCCAUUAUUUUCCCUGGGCCAUUAGCUCAGGUGGUUAGAGCGCACCCCUGAUAAGGGUGAGGUCCCUGGUUCAAGUCCAGGAUGGCCCAUAUCUCUAUGUUGGGGGUAUAGCUCAGUUGGUAGAGCGCCUGCUUUGCAAGCAGGAUGUCAGCGGUUCGAGUCCGCUUACCUCCACUGAUUACCACCUCUGCCAUAUUUCGUAAUACGGGGAAUAUUUUGAGCUGUGAUCAAAUUCUGAACGAAUCUAGCUUCCUAAUGAAAUUAUUAAGAUGCUGGACUCAUUGAAUUAAUUUCAUUGUUUUCAGAGAACCUUGACAACUGCAUAGAUUAUUUUUAAAGACAAUAAGCAUCUUUAAUGAUGCAGAUUUAUUAUUUGUGCGAAUGCAUUAAUAACAAUUCUAUUAAGCUGAUGCUUCAAUUUUGAAGUUAUU